GCCUAGUUAGCUUGGUUGGUAGAGCGUCUGCCUUUUAAGCACUAACCCGCGGGUUCGAUUCCUGCCCGGGCG
rnacentral:tRNA from 1 species